UGGGGAAUUUUGGACAAUGGGCGAAAGCCUGAUCCAGCAAUGCCGCGUGUGUGAAGAAGGCCUUCGGGUUGUAAAGCACUUUUGUCCGGAAAGAAAUCCUUGGCUCUAAUACAGUCCGGGGGAUGACGGUACCGGAAGAAUAAGCACCGGCUAACUACGUGCCAGCAGCCGCGGUAAUACGUAGGGUGCAAGCGUUAAUCGGAAUUACUGGGCGUAAAGCGUGCGCAGGCGGUUUGCUAAGACCGAUGUGAAAUCCCCGGGCUCAACCUGGGAACUGCAUUGGUGACUGGCAGGCUAGAGUAUGGCAGAGGGGGGUAGAAUUCCACGUGUAGCAGUGAAAUGCGUAGAGAUGUGGAGAAUACCGAUGGCGAAGGCAGCCCCCUGGGCCAAUACUGACGCUCAUGCACGAAAGCGUGGGGAGCAAACAGGAUUAGAUACCCCGGUAGUCCACGCCCUAAACGAUGUCAACUAGUUGUUGGGGAUUCAUUUCCUUAGUAACGUAGCUAACGCGUGAAGUUGACCGCCUGGGGAGUACGGUCGCAAGAUUAAAACUCAAAUGAAUUGACGGGGUCAUAGCUGUUU
rnacentral:rRNA from 1 species